rnacentral:lncRNA from 1 species
GAGAACAGGGACUGGAGGGAGAAACAGGAAAGAGGAGGGGGAGAGAGCUCCUGGGUUGCUGCCGCUGCUGCUGCUGCUGCUGCGAGAGGCUGUUUCUUUACUCUCCCUGGCAGGCUCUCCUGCUGCCUGGGAAAGUGGGUUACAGAGAGAAGGAGCUCAGCCCAGACGCUGGCAGAGAAGCAGCCAGCUACAGAGAGUCUAAGGAAGCACCCCUGCCAUUGACAGUCGCCUCCUCAUCAUUAAAGCAUUUUAUAUUUGCACUAGUCCUUCGGAAAAUUUGUUCCUCCACUUUCUCCCCCACUCCUGCUUGGAUUUGAUGAGGGCUUUGUUAAAUCUCAGAGGGGAAAGAGACUGAGCGAGGGAAAAGAGCGAGGCAAAGUGGAAGGGAGUGAGCGCUGGACCCGCCCGAGCAGCCUUGGCAGUGGCUGCGAGCCCCGCGCGCUAGAGCCCCUCUCCGUGGCCAGCAGCGCGCACACGCGAGUCCACCGCUGACCAACUCGCCGAGGCCACCAUGGUCGGGAGAGUUCAACCUGAUCGGAAACAGUUGCCGCUGGUCCUACUGAGACUGCUCUGCCUUCUUCCCACAGGACUGCCCGUUCGCAGCGUGGAUUUUAACCGAGGCACGGACAACAUCACCGUGAGGCAGGGGGACACGGCCAUCCUCAGAUUGAAAGCAGAUGCCAGAUGAUCACCAAUAGGAAUUCAAAACAACAGAAACCUUUUAUACUCUACACAGGUGGACUGAACAAUUUUCCAGGGAUUCACUGGCUUAUAAAUUUUAUAAAUCUAGCACGUUUUCCAACUGAGUUUGCUUUGUAUGCACUUAAUCUUAAAUUUUGGUGGUCUUAUAACUUUGGUGUUAUUGUUUUCUUCCUUCUGCAGUAUUUGGAAACCUUUUAAAUGAUAAUAACCUUUCAUUAAAACUCAAGUACUGUUUA